GGAGGAAAGUAGGGGAUCGUAAGACCUUGCGCUUUUGGAGCGGCCGAUGUCUGAUUAGCUAGUUGGUGGGGUAAUGGCCUACCAAAGCUUCGAUCAGUAGCUGGUCUGAGAGGACGGCCAGCCACACUGGGACUGAGACACGGCCCAGACUCCUACGGGAGGCAGCAGUGGGGAAUUUUGGACAAUGGGCGCAAGCCUGAUCCAGCAAUGCCGCGUGAGUGAAGAAGGCCUUCGGGUUGUAAAGCUCUUUCAGUCGAGAAGAAAAGGUUGCGACUAAUAAUCGCAACUUAUGACGGUAUCGACAGAGGAAGCACCGGCUAACUACGUGCCAGCAGCCGCGGUAAUACGCAGGGUGCGAGCGUUAAUCGGAAUUACUGGGCGUAAAGGGUGCGCAGGCGGCUCUGUAAGUCAGAUGUGAAAUCCCCGGGCUUAACCUGGGAAUUGCGUUUGAAACUACAAAGCUAGA
rnacentral:rRNA from 1 species